GGGGGCGAUCCGGUUUCGACGGGAUGACGAGGGGGCGGACUGCGUGUCCGGGGCCUGGACCCGGUGAGCAAACAGGAACGGUUCAACUGCCAACGACAACUUGGCUCUCGCGGCUUGACCGUGACGUGUCGUGAGGGGGCGCCCGUAAGCCUCGCGAUGCGCGUUGUACUCGGGCUGGCGAUCCGGCGGGGCUCCCCCCCGCGCCGGCGCGAGAUGUCGGGGGAAGGCCGCCCGGACGGGUGCCCGUGCCCAGUCUGGGAGGUCCGAAGGUUCACGAGGCUACGCACGUAGCAUGUCCGUUUCCGAGCAUCUUCGGACGGGGGUUCGACUCCCCCCGCCUCCACCG
rnacentral:tmRNA from 1 species